GUGCACGCUGGCGGUAGGCCUAACCCAUGCCAGUCGCACGGCAGCACAGUAAGAGCUUGCUCUUACGGGUGGCGAGUGGCGGACGGGUGAGGAAUACAUCGGAAUCUACUUUUUCGUGGGGGAUAACGUAGGGAAACUUACGCUAAUACCGCAUACGACCUACGGGUGAAAGCAGGGGAUCUUCGGACCUUGCGCGAUUGAAUGAGCCGAUGUCGGAUUAGCUAGUUGGCGGGGUAAAGGCCCACCAAGGCGACGAUCCGUAGCUGGUCUGAGAGGAUGAUCAGCCACACUGGAACUGAGACACGGUCCAGACUCCUACGGGAGGCAGCAGUGGGGAAUAUUGGACAAUGGGCGCAAGCCUGAUCCAGCCAUACCGCGUGGGUGAAGAAGGCCUUCGGGUUGUAAAGCCCUUUUGUUGGGAAAGAAAAGCAGCAGGUUAAUACCCCGCUGUUCUGACGGUACCCAAAGAAUAAGCACCGGCUAACUUCGUG
rnacentral:rRNA from 1 species